rnacentral:lncRNA from 1 species
UGGGGGCCGUCUCCCAGUGGCUUCCAGACAUUUCUGACCGUGAUGCACAAUGCACAAGGCUCAGGCAAAUUUCAGCAUUGUCCCAAGUAAAGAUGUUUUGGAAAAACUUGCCUGGGAGCAGCUCUAAGGACUGGUCAGCCCCCACAUGGGAUUUCAGCCCCAGUUCGUAACACGGGGCCCAAAGAUUCAAGAUUUGAAUGACCACCUAGGUUGUGGCUGCGAAAAUGGCCGCCCAUCUGGAGACUACACUUCCCAGGCUCCCUUGCAGGGGAUGCUGAAAGACAGUUUUGAGGACCACUGAGCUGGGAGCUGUGCGAGCAACAAGACAGUAGCACCUGGGUCCAUGAACAACCUCAGG